UACGGGGGGGGCAAGCGUUGUUCGGAAUUACUGGGCGUAAAGGGCUCGUAGGCGGCCAACUAAGUCAGACGUGAAAUCCCUCGGCUUAACCGGGGAACUGCGUCUGAUACUGGAUGGCUUGAGUUUGGGAGAGGGAUGCGGAAUUCCAGGUGUAGCGGUGAAAUGCGUAGAUAUCUGGAGGAACCCCGGUGGCGAAGGCGGCAUACUGGACCAACACUGACGCUGAGUGAGCGAAAGCCAGGGGAGCGAACGGG
rnacentral:rRNA from 1 species